rnacentral:lncRNA from 1 species
CAUGGAUGAUCCAACGAUAGAUCCACAUGAAGGAAAAUAAAUCCUUCGUACACACAAGAACAAGAUACAUCCCGGACCCUAAAAGGCACACCGAUUGUGACAACUUUUACAGCAUUCCCUUACGCUCGCAUGACCCACACCAAGGAAACUCCCAUGCAAGCACCACAUAAUUGUUACGACUUGGCACGUGUGGACCGUUCCCAGUAGGUUACCCUUUU